GCCAGCAGGCUCCGAAGCCCUCAUGGGAGCCGGGAGUUCCAUGGCGCAGGCCCCCCGCUGCUGCCCCAAGAAACGCUUGAGUUUGAGAACUCAGGGAACACGAAGAGCCCCCACUGCGAUGGUGAUGGCCCUGGAUUGGGUGGUGCUAAGGAAAGGGCAGCACACCCUCGAGGGCGGGAAGUGAAUGGGGUGACAAAAGAGAGGGAGAAUGGAUAAAUCGCAUUCCACUCAACCGCCUCAGUCUGAAGAUGACAUACAUAAUUUCUGCCUACAUCCCACUGCUUCCCUUGCUUUCUUUUGGAUUACUUGCUCUUGGGAAAGCCAGUUGCCAUAUUGUGAGAACACUCAAGAAGCCCUGCAGAGAGGGCCACAUGAUGAGGAAAUGAGGAAUUCUUCCAACAGCCAGCACCGACUUGCCAGCCACGUGAGUGCACCAUCUUGGAAUCAAAUCUUCCACCUCUAAUUAGGCCUUCAGAUGGCUGCAGCCCUAGAUGACUUUUGACUACAGCUUCUUGAGACAUCCUGAACCAGAACCACUCAGUUAAGCUGCUCCCAAUUUCCUGAUCCAUAGAAAUGAUGUAAGAAAAUAAAUGUUUAUCGUUGUUUUAAGCCACUAAAUUCAGAAGGAAUUUAUUCCAUAGGAACAGCUAAAAUAAACACAGUAUA